AGUGUGGUUCCUUCCCCUUUUGGAGACCACUGCCUGGAAUUUGGACAGCCCCAUGCUGCACUAAGAGGCAUUUAUUUACAGGAUGGGACGACUUCUGCUUUCUUGUAAUUGGUUGGGCCAUGAGCUCUGGCUGACUGGGCUCCCAGAUGGCUUCAGUUUUCCUUUGAGUUUCCAUUAAAUAAUGCCAUAAUUGUUAGCUUGAGAGGAUGUUGAACACAGUCCCUGCUAACUGCCAAACCACCCUUGUAGGAAGCCAAGGAUGUUUGAGGAGCCACAGAACCUUCCCUGUCCGGUGUGGAGAGAGAGCUGAGAGUGAGAAGAGGAUCAGCAGGGUCUUGCUAUGUGGUUCAGGCUGGCCUUCAACUCACUAUGUAGCACAGGCUGGACUCAAAUUUGCAGAGAUCCUCCUGUCUCAGCCUCCCAAGUGCUAGGAUUACAGAAAAGAAAACUGAGCCUGGAAGUUUAUCAAGGCAAGAUAGAAACAAUCCAGCCAUGUAACCUCCAGGUCAGUUCUCUGCACCUGGCUGCUAUUGCCUGAGUCUCAGAGGCUGGGAGAGAGGAAACACAGACAUCUGUCGGGGUGGGGUUCCGGGGCUAUCACUGUCCUGACUGGUGUAACAGUGUACCAUCUCCAAAGCUCUGCAGUUAGGGUCAGAGGGACUGUUCUGCCUAGCCCUGCAGGUGGCCCUGGUACCUGCUGCCUCCCGCUUCCCAAGUCCCCCACUGCCUGGGCAGGGUGCCAUCUCCACAAGGCAGAUCACAUCCAUUUGAUCUCAAACACCAGCACAAUCGGGUCUGAAAUGACAGCUCGCAGCUGGUGAUGUCAUGCUGUUCUGCUUGCCUCCAAG
ensembl:lncRNA